rnacentral:hammerhead_ribozyme from 1 species
AUCCAUCUGAUGAGUUUCAAACAGGACGGAACGCUUGUCCUGUAU